CGGCAGUGAUCGAAUUAUCAUGAGCCAAUCCUUUUCUGAACACUGUGAGGAUUCAUAUGAUAGGUCUGAGCCA
rnacentral:snoRNA from 1 species